CACCGCCCGUCGCUCCUACCGAUUGAAUGAUUUAGUGAAAUGUUCGGAUCGCGGCUACAUGGGCGGUUCGCUGCCCGCAAAGUCGUGAGAAGUCCAUUGAACCUUAUCAUUUAGAGGAAGGAGAAGUCGUAACAAGGUUUCCAUAGGUUAACCUGCGAAAG
rnacentral:ncRNA from 1 species